CCGGCACGGGUGAGUAACACGUAUCCAACCUGCCGUCUACUCUUGGACAGCCUUCUGAAAGGAAAGAAUUAAUACAAGAUGGCAUCAUGAGUUCACAUGUUCACAUGAUUAAAGGUAUUCCGGUAGACGAUGGGGAUGCGUUCCAUUAGAUAGUAGGCGGGGUAACGGCCCACCUAGUCUUCGAUGGAUAGGGGUUCUGAGAGGAAGGUCCCCCACAUUGGAACUGAGACACGGUCCAA
rnacentral:rRNA from 1 species